ensembl:snRNA U12 U12 minor spliceosomal RNA
AUGCCUCAAAGUUAUGAGUAAGGAAAAUAACUCAGUGUGACACAUGAAUCCUCACUGUUAAUGUGACGUGAAUUUUUAAGUGGGUAAAGGUUGCCCCAAAGGUGACCGGCCUACUUUGUGGGAUUCCUGGGAGUCACAAUCUGUCAG